UCCAGACUCCUACGGGAGGCAGCAGUGGGGGAUAUUGCACAAUGGGGGGAACCCUGAUGCAGCGACGCCGCGUGGGUGAAGAAGCGCCUCGGCGCGUAAAGCCCUGUCAGCAGGGAAGAAAAUGACGGUACCUGAAGAAGAAGCCCCGGCUAACUACGUGCCAGCAGCCGCGGUAAUACGUAGGGGGCAAGCGUUAUCCGGAAUUAUUGGGUGUAAAGGGUGCGUAGACGGGAUAACAAGUUAGUUGUGAAACCCCUCGGCUCAACUGAGGAACUGCAACUAAAACUAUUAUUCUUGAGUGCAGGAGAGGAAAGUGGAAUUCCUAGUGUAGCGGUGAAAUGCGUAGAUAUUAGGAAGAACACCGGUGGCGAAGGCGACUUUCUGGACUGUAACUGACGUUGAGGCACGAAAGUGUGGGGAGCAAACAGGAUUAGAUACCCUAGUAC
rnacentral:rRNA from 1 species